UAUAUCAGCAACCUUCCUCUAGUGCUGACACAGGAAUGAUGAAUGAAUUCAUUCGGUCGUUCUUGCAUCCAACUUUCACUUCUUUUUUGAAAACGUUUGAUACUCUUGUAUUGCACCCUGGCGCCGGGCAGCUCAAGGGUAUAUGGGUCGACGCGGGUUCCGCUUCAAUCCGGAAAUGUGCUCGAUCCUUGCCUGCUACGAUCCGAAUGGUAAGGAAAAUGUGAAAGCUGUGGACUACACCUGACCGUUAUCUUUGUUGGGCGACAAUCCAUUGCCGCUGUCCGAAUCCGGGAGCUUCAUCUCGGUCCGCGAGACACUGCUGGAUAUAUUAUAUACACUAAACCGU
rnacentral:lncRNA from 1 species